CCCUGUAGGUCCAGAAUUCCAGCAUUUUUAGGACUUAGCCAAAUUUCAGCCUUUUUCGUUUCUUCUCCGUUUUCGCUCGUUUGGCCUCCGAUUCUUUUCAAAUCAACCGAGACUCUCCAAAAAUAUUUUCGAGCGUAUUUUCAUCAUUUUUUCAUCCACGCUAAUGCCGGAUUUAGUCCAUGGUCCAACAUAGCCUUUCGGGUCCCGUUUUCGCGCCUACGCGCUCCGAAAACGCCCGAAUGCUUCCAAACUUCACCGGAAUCAUCUAAUGGCUUUCCAAACCAAAUGCACACCGUAACUUCAUAAUUUUAGAAGUCCGGUACCUUACAGUAGCAAUUUAUCUAAAGCAAAAU
rnacentral:lncRNA from 1 species